UGGACUACAGGGGUUUCUAAUCCUGUUUGCUCCCCACGCUUUCGUGCAUGAGCGUCAAUAUUAUCCCAGGGGGCUGCCUUCGCCAUUGGUAUUCCUCCACAUCUCUACGCAUUUCACUGCUACACGUGGAAUUCUACCCCCCUCUGACAUAUUCUAGUCUUGUAGUUUCAAACGCAGUUCCUAAGUUGAGCUCAGGGAUUUCACAUCUGACUUACAAAACAGCCUGCGCACGCUUUACGCCCAGUAAUUCCGAUUAACGCUCGCACCCUACGUAUUACCGCGGCGGCUGGCAC
rnacentral:misc_RNA from 1 species